rnacentral:misc_RNA from 1 species
CUUUGGGCUUUUCUACAAGAUCAGGUAAUUUUUCACUUGGCAUUUUCAGCAAAUUUAUUUUAUCAGAUAUAUCAUAAAUGGGCAUGCAUUUCUCAUAACCUGAUGCAAGUUUUACAAGCUGAACUGCUUUUGACGGAACUAAAUAUUCAUGUGGAUUUUUUCUGUUUAUUGUUUAGAAAUUAAAGUUUAUGUCUAAACAUAUAGUUAGUUCUCAUAAUGAAACUGUAACAUGGGUGAAG